GACAUGCAAAUCACGUGCACUCUGCUCCCUGAAAACCCAUCCCUCAGAAUGACAGCCUGAAUGAGUGGCAGCUACACCAGGCCAUUGAUGCACUGGGUGUGUGCCCAUGAGGAUGCCUGCUGAAGGGUAGGAUCUCACUUUGAACCUGGAUCAUUUUUUCCCCUCGUGCUGACACAACGAGCUUUUUGCUGACUGGGCCAUCUCCCCACCCUCCACUCCCCC